ensembl:lncRNA
ACUGUCUACAACACAAGUAUCUAGCCCAGGACUGUCUACAACACAAGUAUCUAACAUAGAGAAUAACUAAUAUUAUUUCUAUGCCUAGGUAAUACCUGUACGUUGUUUAAAGCACCCUUGUGAAAGUCUCAGUCAGAAAUGAGAGAAUAAUCCCCGUAUGGUGAACCAGAGGCUGGUAGAAUCAUGAAUUCUGAGUCUUCAGUUCAGCAGGUAGCCUAGUGGUUAGAGCGUAGAGGCGGCAGGUAGCCUAGUGGUUAGAGCGGUGGACUAGAAACCGGAAGGUUGAAAGAUUGAAUCCCUGAGCUGACAAGUUAAAAAAUAUUUUGUUUUGCCCCUGAACAAGGCAAUUAACCCACUGUUCCUAGGCCGUCAUUGAAAGUAAGAAUUUGUUCUUAACUGACUUGCCUAGUUGUAUAAAGGUAAACAUUUUUUAAAUAUAAGAAAUUGUUCACUGGUAGGGGGGGUCCUGCGUGGUCUGGGCAUUACUGACUCAAAUGUAUGAAAUGAGUCGAAAAUAUUAAUUAUUUUGACUGAACGAAUCGAAAAGAUCAGAGUCUGUAAAAAGAGAGUUGAACUUCCCACUUCACUUAAAAAGAAACAGAAGAAGACAAUGUUCCCUAAAGAACACCAACACACUCACCAUACAAGUGUCAGAUACACAGAAAGAGUUUCUACAGCUCCUGGUGGCUCCAAUUCCCGACACCUUCAAAACAGUAAAUUGCUCUUGCAAAGAGAGGCUGUUUGCCCUGAUGCCACAUCUCUGUCCAAAGCACUGAUUGUGUAACAACGAUACAGUACACAAUAUCUUAUCUGUCCAUGACUAUUUAUACUCCAGGGUGUAGAUAGACCCAUUAGCUCGGCCAUCAUAGAACCUAACCAGCAUUUAUGGUUCGCAUGAAACAUGCCAUGUGGAAGUGUCUCUUUAACGAUAUAGAGCCUGACGAAAAGAUGACCUUGUCCUGUAAGAUGGUGUCUGAUAGCACCUGGUAGGUACACAGACAGAGUCUAAACCAAACCAGGAGGGGGGCACUUUUUGGUUUUUGUGUAAUGCUAGUCUCUAUGUCAGUGUAAAGCUAGUCUCUAUGUCAUCUCUAUGUCAGUCUCUAUGUCAGUGUAAAGUGUCUCUAUGUCAGUCUCUAUGUCAGUGUAAAGUGUCUCUAUGUCAGUCUCUAUGUCAGUGUAAUGCUAGUCUCUAUGUCAGUGUAAAGCUAGUCUCUAUUUUGUAACCUUUCACCACUAAUCAUUCUUUCUGUUACCAUUCUGUCAGGUAGUUUUCAAUCUCCAGCAUUUAAGAGAUUAUUAACUAAUAUGCCAUUUAAAGGACCCUCCGGCUAACCCUGUCUUCUAGUUCAUCUUUAACCCACACUGUAAAUACCUGGAUGGGUGUGGAACAGAGAGAUCCCACCCCUGGGCCC